UAAAAGCCAAAUAAAGCUGUAUUUUUACUGUACAAAAGAAAAUUUACAUUCUUAAUGUAACUUGAUACAUCUAGCGGAAAAUUACACAUCUCUCAAGAAACACAAUAUUUAACAUCCUAGAUAUGUUUCUGCAUUGCAGACUGAUACUGACUUUUAUACAUCUUUAUUUACAAUAACUUAAAAUAUUUUUUUUAUCUCUGGCAAUAUUUACAAGGUCAAUAGUGACUACAUUUCACAUUUCAACAAUCAACAGCAUUACUCAGUUCAGUAAGACAGAAUAAUGGCUUACAUGCACCAACAAAUAUGAUCUUAAAUGUGCGGUUUUUUUCCUUCAGUUCUGAAAAAAAUGAAGGUUUUCACUAGUCCUAGGUUGAAAGGACAUCACUCGAGAGAUCAUAAUUUCUACAUGCCCAUCCUAUUUAAAUUUUCACCAGCACUAUUCUCUGAAUACUAGGGAAGUUUAUACCCAUCUAUUAGUUGAUGCUGUUAAAAAG